UGGAUCACCUGGUGCGAGCCCAGAGC
rnacentral:piRNA from 1 species